GGAGUUCAAGUGGUUUCCAGGUCCACUAUCCCCGAGCAACCAGGAGACCAGAAAGAUACGCUGUGCGUCCUCGGCCUCCUUUCUCAGGGCUGCAGAGGCCUGGCUAUUAGAAGAAUUUCCGUCUUGUGCCACAGGUUAUUGAUCUGUAACCAUGUCUGUUAACAAAUCACCUGCAGUUAAUAAAUGUGGAGUAAC
rnacentral:lncRNA from 1 species